CACAAAUUAAAAUAUGAAGGCUUCGGCUGGACUAUUUUUAUCACCCUUGUCUUUUGCGCACUUGUUGUUUCCUGGGCGGGUUCGCCCGCCACCAGGACCACACCAUAAACCUUUUUUUAUGCAGUUGCAAUCAGCGUCAGUAUAACAAAUGUAAAUCAUUUA
rnacentral:misc_RNA from 1 species